GAUGAACGCUAGCGGCAGGCCUAACACAUGCAAGUCGAGGGGUAGAACACUUCGGUGUUUGAGACCGGCGCACGGGUGCGUAACGCGUAUGCAAUCUACCUUGUACAGGGGAAUAGCCCAGAGAAAUUUGGAUUAAUGCCCCAUAGUAUAUAACCUUCGCAUGUUGGUUAUAUUAAAGUUCCAACGGUACAAGAUGAGCAUGCGUCCCAUUAGUUAGUUGGUAAGGUAACGGCUUACCAAGACGAUGAUGGGUAGGGGUCCUGAGAGGGAGAUCCCCCACACUGGUACUGAGCCACGGACCAGACUCCUACGGGAGGCAGCAGUGAGGAAUAUUGGUCAAUGGGCGCAAGCCUGAACCAGCCAUGCCGCGUGCAGGAAGACGGUCCUAUGGAUUGUAAACUGCUUUUAUACAGGAAGAAACCCUCCCACGUGUGGGAGAUUGACGGUACUGUAGGAAUAAGGAUCGGCUAACUCUGUGCCAGCCGCCGCGGUAACAC
rnacentral:rRNA from 1 species